rnacentral:rRNA from 1 species
UUGACCUCGAAUCAGGUAGGGAUACCCGCUGAACUUAAGCAUAUCAAUAAGCGGAGGAAAAGAAACCAACAGGGAUUGCCUCAGUAACGGCGAGUGAAGCGGCAACAGCUCAAAUUUGAAAUCUGGCUCCCUCUGGGCGUCCGAGUUGUAAUUUGAAGAGGGUGCUUUGGCGUCGGCGGCGGUCUAAGUCCCUUGGAACAGGGCAUCGCAGAGGGUGACAAUCCCGUAUGUGGCCGCAAGCCUUCGCCGUGUAAAGCCCCUUCGACGAGUCGAGUUGUUUGGGAAUGCAGCUCUAAAUGGGAGGUAAAUAUCUUCUAAAGCUAAAUACCGGCCAGAGACCGAUAGCGCACAAGUAGAGUGAUCGAAAGAUGAAAAGCACUUUGGAAAGAGAGUCAAACAGCACGUGAAAUUGUUGAAAGGGAAGCGCUUGCAGCCAGACUUGCCCGCAGUUGCUCAUCCAGGCUCUCGCCUGGUGCACUCUUCUGCGGGCAGGCCAGCAUCAGUUUGGGCAGCCGGAUAAAGACCUCUGUCACGUAUCUGCCUUCGGGCAGACCUUAUAGGGGAGGUGCAAUGCGGCUAGCCCGGACUGAGGUCCGCGCAUCUGCUAGGAUGCUGGCGUAAUGGCUGUAAGCGGCCCGUCUUGAAACACGGACCAAGGAGUCUAACAUCUAUGCGAGUGUUUGGGUGUCAAGCCCGGGCGCGCAAUGAAAGUGAACGGAGGUGGGAACCCUCUCGGGGGUGCACCAUCGACCGAUCCUGAUGUCUUCGGAUGGAUUUGAGUAAGAGCAUAGCUGUUGGGACCCGAAAGAUGGUGAACUAUGCUUGAAUAGGGUGAAGCCAGAGGAAACUCUGGUGGAGGCUCGCAGCGGUUCUGACGUGCAAAUCGAUCGUCAAAUUUGGGCAUAGGGGCGAAAGACUAAUCGAACUAUCUAGUAGCUGUUCCUGCCGAAGUUUCCCUCAGGAUAGCAGUAACGUUUUCAGUUUUAUGAGGUAAAGCGAAUGAUUAGAGGCCUGGGGGUUGAAACAACCUUCACCUAUUCUCAAACUUUAAAUAUGUAAGAAGUCCUUGUUACUUGAUUGAACGUGGACAUUUGAAUGUACCGUUACUAGUGGGCCAUUUUUGGUAAGCAGAACUGGCGAUGCGGGAUGAACCGAACGCGGGGUUAAGGUGCCAGAAUGCACGCUCAUCAGACACCACAAAAGGUGUUAGUUCAUCUAGACAGCAGGACGGUGGCCAUGGAAGUCGGAAUCCGCUAAGGAGUGUGUAACAACUCACCUGCCGAAUGAACUAGCCCUGAAAAUGGAUGGCGCUCAAGCGUGCUACCCAUACCCCGCCGCCGGGGCAGACAUUACGCCCCGGCGAGUAGGCAGGCGUGGAGGUCCGUGACGAAGCCCUGCGCGUGAGCGCGGGUCG